rnacentral:tRNA from 1 species
GGCCAGUUAGCUCAGUCAGUUGAGCGUGGCACUAACAAAGCCAAGGCCGUGGGUUUGAUUCCCGUUCGGUCCC